rnacentral:lncRNA from 1 species
UGCUGUUUCCUGCAAAUAAAAGCCAUGCAUUCGCACAUCCUGCACCCCCAACACGCCAUGCCAAGCACAUAAACGCCCGCACGCUGCAAGCUCAUCUGACUGCGUGCCAUCUUUAUGAAUCAGAUAUUGAGCUGUUGAUUUCUCCCCUUGGAAUUUUAAGCAGUGCUCCCACCCGCUCACAGGAAGGUUCAGGUAAGGGAGCAAGGGGAUGGUUGCAGCUCCAAGCAAAGCCCCUCCCCAGCACUGAGGAUGGGGUGCAGAGGAGCUCUGGGACCUCAGAGCAUGUUCACACCUUCCUAUGGCACAGCCCAGUGUGCCACCACCACCGCCAAAGGGAAAUCACAGCGCACUGUCUGUGAGGAGGAGUGAAAAUCUGGACAGAGUGGGCAAGCUCAGCACACUGCCUUCCAAGUGCCUUCAGUGUGUCUGGCUUUAACUCCAGCUUAGAAGAGAAGAGCUGGAGUGGGAAGAUGCUGCAGCAAUAGGACACCGCAGCACUGAACCCAUGAGGACAUCUGGUCCAACUGCACUGCAGAGAACUGCUCCGAACUGAUGCGUUUCAUCUACCACAGCUCUUCAGGGAAAGGAAGAGCACAGAAAUCCAACAGCCUCACAUAUCCCAGCUUGGCUUCUUUCUCUGCUGUGUAAGCAGCCAACCACCCUUCAGGCAGAUGGAAAGGGCAGCUCCCCAUGGCAGCACCUCUCUGUGCCCAGAAGAGAUGGGCCAAAGCACAAGCUCUUGAUUUAAAUCAAGAAAAUCACAGUGGCUUCUGGGGAGUUCAGUCCCAGAGCUGAAGGGAAAAAUCAGUGAGAAAAGGUCAACUUUCUAUUAGUUCAAAUCAAGCUCUCAAACCCUGAGACCCCAACACUCACCCAAAAGAUGGAUGGGGCUGAAAUUCAAUGCUACUUAUGAAUUCUGUGCUUUCAAUCUAUGUUUUCUUGUUUUGAUUUGCAGUAUUUAAACACACCUCUUUGGAGGGUGGCACACAAGUUUAGAUCUCCAAGCUGAGUAUUUUCAUUCAUCCCUUUUUUCUUCUUUCCUUCCUUUUGAAGGACUCUGUAGAGAGACCUGAUCAGGGAAACAGCAACAAAUGCAAAGCCUGACCUCCAUUAGUUUUAUUUAGGAUAAAGCCCUGCACUGUAGCUUAUUUAUUAACAACAUAAAAAGACACUGCCUAUAGAAAACAGAAUAAAUACACAUAAUUUCCCCA